UGUUGGUUUGAGAGGUUGAAGCUGCCAGCAUGAUCUGGUAAUGAUCUAACCAAAACCUUUCUAUACGUAGACCUAUAUUUAUAUUUCUAUACACAUCAAGCUAUGGAUUAUUAAAUUUCCAGUUUUCGUUACAAAGUUUUCUGCUAUAUUCCUUUCAAUUAUGCUAUCAAUUUUUACCAAGGGAAAGGAUUUACGAGUACUGAAAAGUACCCAUAUAUCCUUGUAGCCUAAAAAGAGGAAUAGUUCCUGAUUGUU
rnacentral:pre_miRNA from 1 species